CCUACGGGGGGCAGCAGUGAGGAAUAUUGGUCAAUGGACGAGAGUCUGAACCAGCCAAGCCGCGUGAAGGAAGACUGCCCUACGGGUUGUAAACUUCUUUUAUAUGGGAAUAAAACAGGGUAUGCAUACCCUUUUGUAUGUACCAGAUGAAUAAGGAUCGGCUAACUCCGUGCCAGCAGCCGCGGUAAUACGGAGGAUCCGAGCGUUAUCCGGAUUUAUUGGGUUUAAAGGGAGCGUAGGUGGAUUGUUAAGUUAGUUGUGAAAGCUUGCGGCUCAACCGUAAAAUUGCAGUUGAAGCUGGCAGUCUAGAGUAAAGUAGAGGUGGGCGGAAUUCGUGGUGUAGCAGUGAAAUGCUUAGAUAUCGCGCAGAACUCUGAUUGCGAAGGCAGCUUACUGGACUGCAACUGACGCUGAGGCACGAAAGCGUGGGUAUCGAACAGGAUUAGAUACCCGUGUAGUC
rnacentral:rRNA from 1 species